UACCGAAUAUGAUCAAAUAACAUUUACCAAAUAUCUCAUCUGUUAAUGGGUGAAUAUACGCUUUUUGAAUUUCAAUGGUCCAUAGACAAAUUUUAAGUUAAACUUAUUAUAUUAUUGUGUCUCUAUGCUUAAACAAUAAAAAAUAUUUUGUCGUUUAACUUGCCCAUAUAGUUAUUCGCGAUAAUUGUUCAAUUUAUGGUAUUAAUAGUUUAAAAUAGUUAUAAAUGUACACUCCUCUGGCCGACCCAUUAAUGGGUUAUCAUGAUUUUAUAGCGAAAUACUUGAAAUACGUAUGCAGUUAUGUUUAUUUUAUCAAAAUAGACUAUAGAAAUAUUUAUGAAUAUAAUAAAAAAAUGUCACUUCAUUUGACGAAACUCAAAGAAGUAAAAUUUGACUUAAAAUCGCCAAGGUACGUUUUAACCUUGAACUACGCGAGUACGACAGUGUGACGUUAGAAGCAAAUUAACGACAUUGAGAAAAACUAUAAUAAUUUUGCGUGAGUUUGCGAUUCACUUUCGGAGAGCAUAUUUGUGCCAGUCGUUCGAGUAUUUCAUUUGAUACUAUGACAUCAUGAUAAAUGUAAAAAAAAGGAAAAGAUGUUCGAAAAAAAUAACAACCGAAGAAUUAAAACCGACUCGAUUAAAAAUGCAGAACUGAGAGAAAAAGAAAGACAGCAAAAGGAAAAAAAAGAAAAAGGGGCAAAUUAAGAGCUUACAUGAUAUGACUGAAAGAAAACAAAGGCUAGCAAAGCAUAGAGCUAGCGUAUAGUAAUAAUCAACUAGAAAUUAUCCUGUAACACUACCUUCUAAGUCUAAUAAUGAAGACCAACAUCCACUUCCGCAAAACAAUGUCGCUCACGCUGCAGCGAUCAGAUUCAGCGGAAACAACGAAAUAAACUUAGAAAAAAAAACAAAAAUAUUAAACAGUUACGUCAAAAGGUACAUGACUAUUAUAAAAACGCAUCCAAAAGCAGGAUAUGACUGCAAACAUAUGAAUUUGACAUCGAAUGACUAUAAAAAUAUAAAAUAGUCAAGAAAUAUGAAGUAUUGAUCCAAAUUAAUAUGAAAUUGCUUUGCUACAGAAUUAGACAAAUACUGUCCCGGAAUUCAAAUGUUUGUGAUACCCGAAGAAGGAAUGAUUUUCAAAAGAAGAUAAUAGACCAAAUGUGAAACCUUUAACUGGUACAAUAAAAAUACAUCAAGUAUGUGGAAACUAGUCGUUGUACAUGAAGGGCGUCAGCUGCUUUCGUAGCAGUUUUUGUCUUCAUUUUUACUUAGGCGAUAUUAAAUACCACCAAAACCAAAAAAUAAAUUGGAUGUUGCUGCAGUAUUCUAAGGAAGAUGUGUCAAAUGAAAUGGUUACACAAAUAUCUACUCAUCUGAAUAAUUCAUCUGUUCUUGUGGAAUAUCAUAUUGAUAAUAAAAAAUAUAGAUCUGCUGGCGCAUGUUCGUUAGAUUUUGAUGAAGAAGGAUAAAUUUCUAAAUCUUCUUGAUUAUAGGAUCUCUUCUGUUUCAAAAUUAGUUUUUUUAAAUAAUUUUUGGAAGAUAUAAAAAAUUGACACUGACAAUUUGCAUAUUUAUAUUGAUCAAUAUUAAAGAAAUUUAUAUAUUUAUAUCUACCAAGGUUUAUAUUUAUAUAUUUAGUUUCACAAAAAUUGUUGAUUCUGUUCUUUGCACAAAAGUGUAUAUGCUGUAGACAGAUAUUUUUUAAGUUUGUAUAAAUAGCCUUGAGACUGAAAGGUGUAUCAUUAGAUAGUGUAUUUUGUGAAACAAGUUCAUAUUUUUGUUUCAUUUAGUAAGUUUAUUUAGAUUAAAGUGCCUUAAAUGAAGGUUUUAAGUGUCUGAAUGUUUUAUAAUAAGAAACUAUCAAAUACUACAUACUGUGAAUAUCAUCUCAGAUGAAUAUAUUAAUUAUUAUUUAAUACGAGUAAUUGACACUUACGCAUUAUCAAAUUAUUAAUCUUAAUAAUAAGAUUGCAUUUAGAAAAUGUAAAGAUUGAAAGUAUCUUGUAAAAUAAAAAAUAUACAAAUACUAUAAUUUAAA